UACGGAGGGUGCAAGCGUUGUUCGGAAUUACUGGGCGUAAAGAGCGUGUAGGCGGCCAGGUAAGUCAUAUGUGAAAGCCCUCGGCUCAACCGAGGAAGUGCAUCUGAUACUGCUUGGCUUGAGUCCCGGAGAGGGAUGUGGAAUUCCCGGUGUAGAGGUGAAAUUCGUAGAUAUCGGGAGGAACAUCAGUGGCGAAGGCGACAUCCUGGACGGUGACUGACGCUAAGACGCGAAAGCGUGGGUAGCAAACAGG
rnacentral:rRNA from 1 species